GACCCGACAUCUGAUGUAAGAUAUUCUUUAGAUGAACUUGAAGUGAGUGGAAUACCCGACUUUGGCCCCUUUCAGGUUGAUUCCAUCCUCUUCCCAGAGGACUUAGAGGUCAUCUGUUUAAAGUACCAGAUCCCGAUCGAAUUUGGACUAGAGGUCGCAGGUCCUGGGCGCAUAGCUCUUUCCCCCACGGUAGGAUCGGCCUUUACAAAGAAUCCUUUAAGGCUGGAUUUAAGUUACCUCUUAACUUCUUAAUUAUAGAGUUGCUAAAUACAUACCAAAUAGCCUCCUAUUGUAUAGUGCCGGACUCAUGACAUUUAAUCAUAGCUUUUUUGGUACAUUGCCUUCUCCUUGGGGUUGAACUGACCUCCCAUCUCUUUAGAGCAUGCUUCACAUUGAAGGAAUACGAAGCUGGGUGGUGGUAUGCCUCUCCUCGGAAAGGGCAUCAUCUCUUUUGAGGUACUCCUUCCUCAAUACAUAACUGGAAGGAACGAUAUUUCUUUAUCUCAACCAAGCAAUCCUGGGAUAUUAGCACAUCAUGGGAUCGACCUCAGAGGUCAAUGG
rnacentral:lncRNA from 1 species